ensembl:lncRNA novel transcript
GAUUUGGAAGAGGAGAGCUGUCAGAGGACACUGAGAAGUGGCAGUGACGUUGGAAGAAAAUAAGAAUGCUGUGUUUCUGGAGUCAAGUUAAAACUCCAUUUUAAAGAUGGAGUGGUCACCUGUAUCAGAUGUCCCCAGGAGGCCAAGGAAGAAUGCUCCAAAUCAUAAUAAAAUCCAUCCAUUACUUCAGACAGAUGAAAACAGUUCCUUCUAAAAAGAGGCUAAUGUUUUUAAAAGACAGUAAGAGAAGAAUGUCAGCUCCCCAUGGCUGCAGUAGAAAGUGCUGGAUGAGAGGAGCAUCUCCAGAGCAUGGAAGACAAAGCAGCUUUAUCCUCAACUUUUCCACCUCAAUUUCCAUUUUCCUCCAAGGCAAAACUCCCACUCCUGGCAGAUUAAAUGAAAUGAAGACACUGAGCUCUGCAAGUACACUGCUUUUUGAAUCCCAGAGCUGGAAUCCAGAGAGACUCUGAAUUUCUUCAGGCUAGUCCACCCCUGCAAGUGAACUUGCUUGUCAAAUGCCUCUUUAAAAAGAAAGUGAAGAUAACUGCAAGUCAGCUGGAAGUGCUGCCAAGAUAUGACCUCCAGGAAGGCCCAGAAGACAAGUGAUAUUGUGUGGACUGCUACAGCGCAAUGUCUAACUGAUGCAAAAUGAAGAAUCAAUUUGAAAUUAAGAUGAGUAAAGGCAUCCAGCACUUACAGCAAAAAACAUUGUCAUCAGGCCCUGGGGAGAUGAGGACACCUCCCUUCCCUUCUCAGGCUCCCUUUCCCUGUCAGACUCUAGCUCUCAAAGGCUGUCAUCCUCCAAGGGUAUUCCCUACGUACUGCAUAGCAUCUCUGUUACCCUUUGAAUUCAACAGUAUUCAUCUCCUCCAACAUUCAUUCAUUCCUUUAGUCAAAAGUCAGUUGUCAAACACAAGGCACAAGUGCACAUUUAAGGAAUUCAUGGCCAAUAUUUGUCAUGUCAUUUCAUGAAUUGUCUGAGAAACAUAAAACAUACAAUGAGGAUACUGAUCCAAGAUACAUGGCACACAAUUAAAUUGCGAAAAACAUGACUCUGAGUCCAAAAGUUCUUAUUUUUUCACAGUCUUCAGAGUAUUGUAUAGACCCCUUGAAAAAUAAAUUUGCAGAGUGUGAAUGUUAAUUACUGUCACCUUCAGAAAAGAGAUUUUACACAUGUAUAAAAGAGAAAUAGUGACUAUUCUAGAUUAUAGAGCACAGAAAGAAUUCUCAAACUAGUAUAACCCUAUUUCUCUAUAUCACAAAGACAUCUUGUAGGCAUGUUCCUCUGAAGGACUUGAGAAUUAUGCUUUUUUUCCUCCUUGUCUCUCUAAAAGCAAAAAGCACAGUAAUCUCGCUGAAGUAUAAUCAAAACAGAGCCUGAUGUGAAACCAGAGCCUUGAGUUUUCAUCCUGCAUUUGUUACUUAAAAGCUGACAUAAGAAAAAUUAUUUAACUUCUCUUAACCUCAGUUUCUUAUCUAUAAAAUGGGAUUAUAAAAUGUAUCUCACAAGGUAGUUAUGAGGAUUAAAGGAAAUGAAAAAA